UCACUGAUCCUCCCCUCUCACCCCCAGAUGAUGAUCAUCUUGGGAGUGAUUUGCGCCAUCAUCCUCAUUAUCAUCAUAGUUUACUUCAGCACUUAAAUCCCCGAGGAGUCUGCCCUGCCUAGAGAAGGGCCUCUCCCCCCACCCUCAGCCGUUCCUUCACCUCUCAGCCAUAUCUUUCAGUCCCCCUCCCCUGGAUCCGUGUGUGUGUGUCUGUGUGUGUGUCCCCCUGUAAAUAGCCAGCUGUUAUUUAUACAUAUAUAAUAUUAUAUAUAUUUGGUCUGUUUGUAGUUUUAUUACUAGAAGAUUUUUCCGGUUGUCCUUAACACCCUCCCUGAGGUUCCCUGCACCUCCUCUCUCUUGCCUUCCUUUCCUUUCCCUUUCUUCCUGACUAGCCCCAAGUCCCUUCAUUUGCAUCUGCUAUGCAAUAGUCCCUCUCCUCUCCUCCUUCCCUCGGAUUUAGCUGAUCCUUCCUCCCACCCUGGCCUUCCUUUCCUCCUCCCUCUCCCCUUCUUCCUGCUCCCUCUGCUCCGCCCUCAAAAAAAAAAAAAAAACGAAAAGCACCUGUCCGGGCUUCCUUAGGUGCAUCUUCUUUGCAUCCAUUAGGAGGCUCUGAGACUGGCCCCACUUGGUCCUAAGAAUCCCAAGGUCUUUGGGAGCGUCCAGCAUGUUAAUUAGCGUAUCAUUGCAUACUGCAGUCUCUUUCCAUUUCUUUUUGUUCCAUCACUCCUCUCUUAAUCUGUGUUUCUUAUUUUUACUGAGGAGUUAGUCCCCAUUAGUACUUGUAUUACCUUUUCAUUUGCACGACAUUACUUGCAGGUGGUGGGAGCCUGGGCUUUUGGGGAAUCAGGCUGCUCUGGCCCCCAGCAUUGCCUCCUUCUAGCCCUCUAGUCCAGUUUGCCUCCCUUACCCUCAUUUUCCAAACCUCUUGUGCCCCCCUCUCCCUCCCCCAGCUGGUGUGUGAGUGUCUUGGAGUUCAGUAUGUUAUGAUGGACCAAUAAUUCUGCCACUCGGGGUCUUUCCCCACAUUCCUGCUCCCCAGUUUUCAUGUGGGGCACUCAACUGACAUUCCCAUGGGGUUUCCCUCCCUCCCAUCUGCCUGAUCCACCUCCUCCUCCCAGCAGGAGAGUUGGGGGUUGGCCACAAUUGAUCUCUUGGGAGGGGUGGCUACCAGUGUGGGGGGGGGGUCAUCACUGCCUUGGGGAGGAGUGGGGCAGGGCAGAGAAUCCCCCCAGUUCCUGCCUGAAAUCUCUGGCUUCACCCCUGCUGGGGGUUGGACUGAAAACCCUCCUUCCCAAUUUGGGGGGUGUUGCCCCCGUCACUGCCCAGCUCCUCUGACUGCCCCUGCCCUGAAUUUAGGGUGGGGGUACUAGUCACUGCCAAUGUGUGUAUGGGACUUGCUGGAAAAUGAGGAUCCUUGCCCCUCUCCAGGGCUAUUUGAACCCAGAGAGAGCUGUCCUCUCAUUGGGUGAAGUGAUAGAGGAAGGGUCUAUUGUCUUUUUAAAUGGCACAAUUUUAAGGGUCUGAGGGUACAGUCCCUUAACCUGCCACGGGAGGGGGGCCCCCAAACACUCUUCCCCCCACACUCGAGAUUUUUUGUGUGGAGGGGUAGCAGGGAUAUCUAAGCUGUGGUGUGAAAGGGUAGGAGAGAUGCUGGGGGUGGGGGUGCUGUGUUCUAGACCCCCCAUAUUAUCCCAGUGUCCCCUGCCCCCCUCUUCCCCCACCCCAUUCCCCCAAUUCUGUGGCGCAUCCAGAUUGUGAAAAUGUACAAUAAAUGUGUAAUGAGUAACCA